rnacentral:ncRNA from 12 species
CUCCUUAGAGCUGUGGUUGAAAGUCGAAGCCAGUCGCAGGCGAAACGACCCACGUAAGGUAACUUUGGUUACUGAGCAUGGUGCGGCUUUGGAGUAAGUCCUGCCUUAACCCUAACAGGUUAGAACAAUAAGAGAAGAGUAGUAGUGAAGGAUAAAGUUCUUGAGCAAACCUCUCAGCAGGCGAGUGUGGGGGCAAAGACCAGGUCAGUCUAAGGAA